rnacentral:rRNA from 1 species
AGUCACUGACAUUAGAUACCCGUGUAGUCCAGGGUGUAAACGCUGCAGACUUGGUGUUGGAAGUCCUUUGGGGGCAUUCAGUGCCGGAGAGAAGUUGUUAAGUCUGCUACUUGGGGAGUACGUCCGCAAGGAUGAAACUUAAAGGAAUUGGCGGGGGAGCACCGCAACGGGAGGAGCGUGCGGUUUAAUUGGAUUUAACACCGUAAAACUCACCAGGGAAGACUGUUACAUGAAAGCCGAGAUGAAGACUCUGCUAGAUUUUCAG